rnacentral:rRNA from 1 species
GAUGAACGCUGGCGGCGUGCUUAACACAUGCAAGUCGAGCGAGCUUGCCUAGAUGAUUUUAGUGCUUGCACUAAAUGAAACUAGAUACAAGCGAGCGGCGGACGGGUGAGUAACACGUGGGUAACCUGCCCAAGAGACUGGGAUAACACCUGGAAACAGAUGCUAAUACCGGAUAACAACACUAGACGCAUGUCUAGAGUUUGAAAGAUGGUUCUGCUAUCACUCUUGGAUGGACCUGCGGUGCAUUAGCUAGUUGGUAAGGUAACGGCUUACCAAGGCAAUGAUGCAUAGCCGAGUUGAGAGACUGAUCGGCCACAUUGGGACUGAGACACGGCCCAA